UACGUAGGGAGCAAGCGUUGUCCGGAAUCAUUGGGCGUAAAGCGCGCGUAGGCGGCUUUGCAAGUCGGGUGUGAAAUCCCCAGGCUCAACCUGGGAACUGCAUUCGAGACUGCAUUGCUAGAGUAUGGGAGAGGGAAGUGGAAUUUCCGGUGUAGCGGUGAAAUGCGUAGAUAUCGGAAGGAACAUCAGUGGCGAAAGCGACUUCCUGGACCAAUACUGACGCUCAUGUGCGAAAGCGUGGGGAGCGAACAGG
rnacentral:rRNA from 1 species